UAUUAUCUUAAAGUGAUGGUUUGGAGUAAUUUCACUCUAGGGUCCUUUGCACCAUGACCUCAAGCGAAACAAACCCCCAGAAGCUUUUUUUCACCUGGGUCAAACAUUGGGUGGGUUACCAUUAUCAGCUGAUUAGCUUGGCGCAGGCACUAAUGGAACCAACUGUGUAUCUCCUAAAUUACCCCACUAAUAAUGCCGAAAUGAUACCAAACGUUCUGCAGUAGUACAAAUAGGUUAUGUACUCAUAAAACAUUGGAUUGGAAAGUUUGUAAGUCCACCAGGAGAUUAAUAUUUAAAU